rnacentral:rRNA from 1 species
UAUCCCCUGUGUGCCUUUAAGGCGUGCGUAGCGAAGCUAACGCGCUAAGUAGACCGCCUGGGGAGUACGGCCGCAAGGUUAAAACUCAAAGGAAUUGACGGGGGCCCGCACAAGCGGUGGAGCAUGUGGUUUAAUUCGAUGCAACGCGAAGAACCUUACCAGGGCUUGACAUACUACGAAUUUUCUUGAAAGAGAAAAGUGCCUUCGGGAAUGUAGAUACAGGUGGUGCAUGGCU